UACGGAGGGUGCAAGCGUUGCUCGGAAUCAUUGGGCGUAAAGCGUACGCAGGCUGUUCGUUAAGUGGGAUGUGAAAUGCCCGGGCUCACCCCGGGACCUGCAUCCCAAACUGCUGAGCUUGAGUACAGGAGAGGGUGGGGGAAUUCCAGGUGUAGCGGUGAAAUGCGUAGAUAUCUGGAGGAACACCGGUGGCGAAGGCGCCCACCUGGCCUGCUACUGACGCUGAAGCUCGAAAGCUAGGGGAGCAAACGGG
rnacentral:rRNA from 1 species